CCGUGCAGAAGGCUGUGGCUGUGUGCGCUGGCCUUUGCAAUGCCUGUUAUCCAUCGUUUCAGAAGGACUGUACGAGAUGCGAAGCCUUGAGCAACACAACACGGAGAAGGCUGUGUACGCUGGCACCUGCAAUGCCUGUCUUCCGUCGGAGAAGCUUCACAAAGACUGACAAGAUGUGAAAACGAGGCUGGACUUGGACAUUUCACCAGCAUUCACUUAAAGAAUGGAUAAACGUCAUGUGUAUAUAGAAAAAAUAAAAGAUUUCAAUGUC